AUUUCACAAGAAGAGAUACAAAAAAGGAAUCAUAUUUGACACAGCCUGCCUAACAUCCUAUCACACCCAAUGCGUGAAGAAAAGAUAGGAGGGUGUAACAGUCGCCUAAAACAGCCAACAUUAUUUCUUCUUUCUUUGUAUCAAUCAACAAGUAGAGCAGCUCUAGGUUUUGGAUUUCCAUAUAUAUGCUUUAGCCAAAGCUACAGUUUAUUCAAUCCAUAUUCUGCUACUGCUGCUUCACUGAUUAGUGCAGGGUGGAGAGUUCCAAAGGGAUCGCAUUGAUCUGAUGAUGUCUACUGAUGCGCCUAAAAUGACCGUUAAUUAUCAUUUUUAUUCAUUGGAUCAUGCGAUCCCUUAGGAAUUUUCCACCGCUAGCUCUAUAUUCUCACUACAUCUUUCCAGGUUUGAGCAAGCAAGGUUGGGUUAUUUCUUUGGCAUAUUGAGAUUUUCAUAAUGAUUUGUUAUAACUAAAAUUAUUUCCCACACUUUUGUAUACCUUCACUUCCAUUAAGCAUUUAUAGUCUGAUAUUUAACAAUAUAA